AGAGACCGGGCAAAGCAAAGUCAGUAAAAGCGUGUACGCACACAGCGUGAAGCAGGAAGCAGGAAAUCCUAGCAGGUACAGAGCAAUCAAGAAGCAAAAAGGAGGAGACCACGUUUAAUAAUCCGGGGAUGGUAGAGUUCUGUGGGUGGUUUUAACGCUAUAGAUGCCCCCACGUGUCUGGGGCGGGAAACUGUUGGAGACUUCCAUUCUCACUGUGCUCCUGCUCUCCUAUUGUGAAGCUUAAUCUGUACUGCAGCUCAACUUUCUCCUAAAAUGGAAACACAAACAGAAACAAUGUAGAUCAGGGGUGCUCACACUUUUUCAGCAUGCGAGCUACUUUUAAAAUGACCGAGUCAAAAUGAUCUACCCACUACAAAAAUGCAAAACAUCUAUUUAUUUUCAAAUGUAUUGAGGAUUAUUUGUACGUACAAUGUAUGUUGAUGUACCUUACAUAACCAAAUGAGCCAAUAUUGCAAAACACACAUAAUUAACUAUUAACAUUUUUUGUAAUUACCUGAGUUUACUUUGAUGACUUGCACUGAAUUGAACCAGCCAGGGAUGCAUAGUCCGGACAGUAGCUGCUGAUAGCCAGCCUCAAGCACACUUCCAAAUGUUUAUCAGUCAUGGAUAAUAUCCGUAUCAUAAUAUCCGUAUAAUAUUCCAUAUCCGUAUGGAAGUGAUAUGUUUUUUGCCUUUUUACUUGGUCCAGCUCCUUCACUCAUUUUAGUGACCAUAAACUUUAGCGAGGGCUUUAAAAUCUCGCAAUUCGCCGACUAGCUUAGCACUUUGCAUCGUUGUUUACGCAUGAGCGGUGACCUAAAGGUCAAAAUUCAGUUGUCAUCUGACUGGUUGUCCUGUAUGUCAAUCAAGUAACGGGGGAUGGAUGAUAGGCUGACAUCGUAAGUUCUGCUGCACUUAGAGACGUUGUUUGAUUUGAUUGGUCGCCCGAAGGCUCAGUUGUCAUCUGAAUGGCUGCCCUGUAUAUCAAUCAAGUGACGGCAUUGAUGCUGGGAUGAUAUUUUUUUCAUGUCACGCCGCGAUCGACCAGUACCACCUCCGCGAUCGACCGGUAGCUCGCGAUCGACUUAAUGAACACCCCUGAUGUAGAUGAUCCAGACAGGCAACCAUUUUCAAUAUGUGUAUGUAUGUAAGAUGUCCCUCGUUUAUCACAGUUAAUUGGCUGCAGACCCAACCGCAAUAAGUGAAAUAAGUGAAAUGUUGCAAUGUUAUGAUACAACAGCAUUCACCAAAUGUGUUUCUAAAAUGGCCGCACCUUGUUUGGGUUUGCCAGGAGCAUGAUCUGUGUGACGGCAGCAGGAGGAAGAAUGGGAUUGAACGCAGGAAGUUCCGUUCCCGAAGCGGAGUCCAAAACGAGACAAGACGCCCGCGCAGACCUUCUGCGGCGAAAUUAGGAAGUUGAUGUUGGUGACGGGCACGGGAGCGGACGACAGCAUGGAGAUGAUCACCACCAGCACGUCGGGGCGAGAUGGAGGUGAAUCGCGUGCAACGUGGAGGAGAACGCGUAGAUUGUGUCCGUCAAAGACCGUGACAGCAUCUGAUAGGCAUCCAAGAUCUUGGCCUCAUCAGGCAGACCUAAAGUCCAGCUGUAGAUCAACUCCAAGACCUUCUUCUUCACUGCCUCUGGUGACCGGGAACCCAGGUACUGUGUGUAAAGAAUCGAAGUGUUAAACGUGUCAAGAGAAAGCCAAGCCAUGCAAAGCCACAGAUGAUAACUUUACCUUCGGAGAAACUACUUUGAUAAGUUCAUUGAGAAAGCGGAACUUGCCCACUUCAUUGUGGAACCUUUUCCCGCAGUUUUUCAUACAGGUCUCCAAAACCUGGUGACGAAAAGGACACAAAUGCCUGGAUAGCAGGAAAUGUUUGGGACAUACAGUAAACCUCGGAUAUAUCGGACUCGGAUAUAUCGGAAAUUCGCUCACAACGGACAGAUAAAAAAGAACCGAUUUUUCUGUAAUGCAUUUCCAAUAAAAAUUCAUUGCAUAUAUCGGAUUUUUUAUAACGGAUUUCGCCUAUUUCGGACAAAAUCUCCAGUCCCGUUCCAAUGCAUUUCCAUUCAAUUUCCCUCGCAUAUAUCGGAUGGCCGCAUCGUGGCGCUCCGAUUCGCCGAAUCGUGACAGGCCGCUAUACGACGUCAUUUGCAGCGUUGCCUGCACGAUUUAUAUUCAGAUUUAGGACAAAUAAAAUCCGAUUUACGCAUAUACUGGAUAUAAAUCCGAUAUAUGCGUAAAACUGACAUUUUCCGGUAUACGCAUAUAACGGAUUUCGCUUAUAUCGGACAAAACCAGUGGGAACAAUUGAAUCCGAUAUAUGCGAGGUUUACUGUAUUAUGAAUUUGUGUCAGCUACCCCUUCUACUCCUCUACUGCAACACAAAAAGGAGAGAAAAUGUGUCUUGCCUGUGCUAUUAUUUUUCUUGACAAAUACAUACGACCCCAAAGUUUGACCCCCAUUAAGUUGACUUACUCUGCAAAAUACCGACUGUGACUUGAACUCGAAAUUCGGCACACACCUUUAGGGGAUUGACAUGUACAUGUCUGUACAAUUUGAGCAACGCUGGUUGAAAGACGUGUUAGCUGCCAGCAACCAAUGCAUCUUAGCAACU